rnacentral:rRNA from 1 species
UACGUAGGGUGCGAGCGUUAAUCGGAAUUACUGGGCGUAAAGCGUGCGCAGGCGGCUUUGCAAGACAGAUGUGAAAUCCCCGGGCUCAACCUGGGAAUUGCGCUUGUGACUGCAAGGCUGGAGUGCGGCAGAGGGGGAUGGAAUUCCGCGUGUAGCAGUGAAAUGCGUAGAUAUGCGGAGGAACACCAAUGGCGAAGGCAAUCCCCUGGGCCUGUACUGACGCUCAUGCACGAAAGCGUGGGGAGCAAACAGG